GACGAACGCUGGCGGCGUGCUUAACACAUGCAAGUCGAGCGGUAAGGCCCUUUCGGGGGUACGACGAGCGGCGAACGGGUGAGUAACACGUGGGUGACCUGCCCUUAGCUCUGGGAUAAGCCUGGGAAACGUGGGUCGUAAUACCGGAUAUGACUCCAUGACGCAUGUUGUGGGGUGGAAAGCCUUGUGCGGCUAGGGAUGGGCCCGCGGCCUAUCAGCUUGUUGGUGGGGUGAUGGCCUACCAAGGCGACGACGGGUAGCCGGCCUGAGAGGGCGACCGGCCACACUGGGACUGAGACACGGCCCAGACUCCUACGGGAGGCAGCAGUGGGAAUCUUGCGCAAUGGGCGAAAGCCUGACGCAGCGACGCCGCGUGGGGAUGACGGCCUCGG
rnacentral:rRNA from 1 species